AAUAAAUAUAAAACUAUUAAUGAAAUAUCUUACAUUUUUCUUUUGUACUAAGUUUUUGAGAUCCAUGAUAUGUUUCAUAUUUACAGCACAUUUCUAUUAGGACCCACUGUAUUCCAAGUGCCUAAUAAUCCCUGUGGCUAGUGACUACUGUGUUGGACUGAAUUGUUCAAGACUUAAAUAGAGGGCUUGAGGGUGAGAAUUUCCUUCUUCAGAUCUACUGGGAUUCCUUUGAGCCAUAUAAUUUCUUAAAACAAAAUGACUUUCUAAAUCCCAUACAAUUUUUCUUUAUGAGUUAAAAUACGCAUUGCAGAUACUUUUUAAAAAUAUUUUCUAUUUACUGAUUUAUUUAUUUUUAGAAAGAGAGAAAGAGAGAGUGUGCGCACAAGUGUGCAAGCAGGGGUGAAGCAGAGAGAGAGAGGGAGAGAGAGAAUCUCAAGCAGGCUCCAUGAUGCCAGUGCAGAGACUGAUGCAUGGCUCCAUCCCACAAACGAUGAGAUUAUGAUCUGAGCUGAAAUCAAGAGGCAGAUGCUUAACCAAAAUCAAGAGUUGGAUGCUUAACCGACUGAGCCACCCAGGUGCCCCAACACUAUAGACACUUUUGCACAAUUUUCCAUUGGUUGUGAUUCUGAUUGAUUCUAAUUUUUGCUUUUUGCCAAGUAGGUGAUUGUCGUUGCAUCUUUACCCUGUUCUAUCCCCUGUUCCCCUUCCCAUGCCCUCUCCUGCACAGAGGUGAAUGUUCCACACAUUUAAAGGGCCAUACUAUUUACCACAAUGCUAAGAUUUGCUCCACACGACUCAUCAGGUUUUUCCUCAACCUGCAAAACAGAGAGGAGAGCAUCAUCUGAGAAAACUAUAUUGAAGUAAUUACAGAACAAACUUCCACGUCAAGGAUUAAGGUAUAUGUUAGCCAAUCAAUUUUCUUAGUUCAAAACAACUGUGUAAAUGGACUAGAAAAUAAUUUAAAAUCUGCUUUUAGGAAUCACAGUGGAAUGAGGAGCCUUAAUUAUUA
rnacentral:lncRNA from 1 species